rnacentral:misc_RNA from 1 species
GAAAUGCGAUAAGUAGUGUGAAUUGCAGAAUUCAGUGAAUCAUCGAAUCUUUGAACGCACAUUGCGCCCUUUGGUAUUCCAAAGGGCAUGCCUGUUCGAGCGUCAUUUGUACCCUCAAGCUUUGCUUGGUGUUGGGCGUUUUGUCUCUAGCUUUGCUGGAGACUCGCCUUAAAGUAAUUGGCAGCCGGCCUACUGGUUUCGGAGCGCAGCACAAGUCGCACUCUCUAUCAGCAAAGGUCUAGCAUCCAUUAAGCCUUUUUUUCAACUUUUGACCUCGGAUCAGGUAGGGAUACCCGCUGAACUUAAGC